rnacentral:lncRNA from 1 species
ACGCGGAAACGACAGGAUCUUGCAAAUUACGUCAACGCGAAAUCACCAGAGAAAUAAACGAGAAAAAUCAGGACACCAGAAAUUUAGGUGGUUCGGUCCGAGUAUCGGUACCUACGUCCACAGGGAGAGCUAGCAGCAAAUAAUCCACUAAAAUCGGAGAAUCAGAGUUUACAAUCGCUCAAUCGCUCAAGUGUUUCCCGCACCUAGAUUUAACCCAAAACCCAAAGUGUAUAAAUAACAACUCGCUUGGGUAUAAACUCACGGCACAAAAAAUACCACGCGUCCCUUGCCUCGAAGUAUAACACGCGCGCGGCUCAAUCGUCACUUUGACGUGCGGCUUCUCUUCGGCGGACGUACGCGUGAACGUGGGACCUCUUGUGCGGCUACGUUCUUCGUUGGACGCUCGUACGUGAAACAAAGAAGAAAAACUCUCUGCUUCUUUUAUAUAUGUGGGCCCAAGUCAAAGGCCCACCACCACUUUUGAAUUCCUACGCAUGGAGGUCUUCACGCCGAACGUGUGUGUGCGCGAGUGUGCCCAAGGUCAAACCUUUGACCUUGGGCCCCACCAUUAAUCAUCCACGUCCAGAGGCUUCACGGCUUCAUUCUUCUUCUUCAAUUCGGAUUCCGCAACAGCAAAGAAGAAAGUUUCACUUCAAAUAUUUUACUUUUAUAUUUCUUCUUUUCCAGCGAAAAACUCGAGACAUAAUUUUAACAAAAGGUAUGCACUAAUCAGCUUCAAAGUCUGUGAAGAGAAUUCAAGAAUUACAAAAUGAAAAGUUAUAAGAGCCUAAAGAGAUGAAAUCAUUGAUAAAGGGUUGUAGAAAAAAAUAUUGGCGUCACUUACUAGGUAAUACAAUCCUAUUGUCACAACUAUAGAAGGAACAAAGGAUUUAACAACCUGUUAGUGAGUGAAUUGAUUGGCUCUCUAGAAGCACAUAAAAAAAGGCUGAUGGCACAAGAUGAAGAUUCGAUUGAAAGCGCCUUUCAAUCUAAAAUAAACGUGCGGUCUCAUCAAUCUAAAAAUAAUGGAAGGAACUCAUGGAAAAAUAAAGGAGGAGGAGAAACUACACAAAAGGAAAAAUAUCCACCUUGUAGAAUUUGCAAGCAAAACAAUCGUUUGGAGAAAGAUCGCUAAUCUUGUAAAAAACCACAAUGCUGGUAAAAGAUAUGGCCACAUAUAAAAAGAUUGUCACUCAAAAACAAAUUAUUGAGCCAAUCUUGUGGAAGAAAAAGAAAGUGUAGAUCAUACAUUCUAUGUAGGCUGAGUGGCAAAGGAUGAGAAACAUGAUACAUAGUAUAUUGAUAGUGGGUGUAGCAAUCAUAUGAUGGGGAAAGAAUCCAUAUUGGUGAAAUCUCAAGUGAAAUUGAGCAACAAUGAGUUAGUUGAUGUAGUGGGAAAAGGCACUAUCGCUGUUGAAACAUAUGAAGCCCAAAAUAUAUUCACAAUGUAUAUUCAGUCCCUAGUCUUGCACAAUCUACUGAGCAUGGGCCAAAUGAUACAAAGUGGGUAUUACUUUAGAGGAGAUGCCUACAUUAUCUAUGAUAAAUAUAAACAUAUUAUUGCCUAUGUUAAAAUGGAGAAUAGGAACUUUCCUAUUUGAUGGAAAUAUGUCAAAAAUAUUGUUAUGAAAGCUCAACUUUAUGAUUCAUGAUUAUCGCACCAAAGAUUUGGCCACUUCAACUUUGCUAGGUUAAAAUUUCUCCAUUAGAAAUAUAUGAUGGGAGACUUUCCAGCCAUUUUGGGAAUUUCAGACGUUUGGGAAUGCUGCCUCCUUGGAAAACAAUAAAGAUAGUUCUUAUCAUCUAAAGGCGCAUGGAGAACUAAAAAGCCACUGUGAGUAGCUCAUACAGAUAUAUGUGGUUUAAUGAAGAUCCCCACACCCAAUCACUAUAAAUCCUAAUCAUCGACGACACUCUUGCAUUUUUCGAGAAAGAUCGUAGGUUUUCUCUAUUUUCUGGAAAUUCAAAAACCACAUUGAGAAUCAAAGUUCUAAGGAGUGACAGAGGCAUGGAAUACAACUCAAGAGAGUAUUAUAAAAUUUGUCAAGAGAUGAAGGAGUUCAUUAUCAACAAACAGUUGGCUAAGCCCUGGAGCAAAAUUGAGAUGCAAAAAGGAAGAUUCACACGAUCUCUCAUGUUCAUGGAAACAUCAUUCGCUAAUUAGGUAACCUUCUUAACCGAUUUGGUCCAUCGCAAACAGCAGAUGAAGAUAUGAGUUACUAGAGAUAACCCAAGCAUGUCGACUAUGGAUUAGUUCAUGUCGGUGUAUCGUUAUUUCGAAUCAUCCUUAGUUCAAGAGGAUGAUUCCAUUUUACCAGAGUUACAAUGGUCUGUGGGGGAUGGCACAAAGAUUAGUAUUCGAGAAGACCGAUGGCUUCCUAUGGGCAUUAUUGGUGGACCUGCUAAUCGCAAUGAGCCACGACUGGUGGCAGAUUUGAUGUUGCCGAGUUUGAAUCAGUGGAAUGGUCCCCUUAUUAAUCACUUAUUUGAUGAACCGGUUUCCAGAGAAGUUCUUAAUAUUCCCCUAAGCUCUACUUGCCAUGAAGAUAGGCUAAUCUGGACAGCUACUGCUCAGGGUCAGUAUUCUGUUAAAAGUGCAUAUUACAGUUUAUCCUCUUACAUUCAGCCAUCUGAGCCUAUUUGGAAGAGAUUAUGGACUCUUAAAACUGUCCCUAAACUUCGGUUCUUUCUUUGGUCUGUUUAUCACAAUGCUCUCCCAACCAAGACAAAUCUUUUUAACAUACACAUCAGCCCUGACCCAACAUGCACAUUAUGUUCUUAGCGAGCGCCUGAAUCAAUCGAGCACCUACUUCUUCUAUGCCCCUGGACUACAGCAGUUUGGUCACACCCUAAGAUUGCUAUCAAUCAUUCUCAAACAGCAGCACAACACAUGACAGAGUGGCUUGAAGCUAGAUUUCGAGAUAAAACGCUGUUACCUGGCAUGGAAAUUAUUGCAGCCCUUCUCUGGCAAAUAUGGAAGGCGCGAAACAGGUUCAUCUUCACUAGUAAGAAGCCUGAUCCAUCUUUUGUGGUCGAAUCUGCCUUAACUCAGUCGCGAUUUGCUCGGAUCAACCAUCUUUCCUCUUCAACUGCGUCAACCCCAGGAAUCAACUUUUCUGCUCCUUCUACCCUGUGGCGACCCCCUGAUCCAGGUGUACUCAAAGUCAAUAUCGAUGGGGCUUUUCAGGUUGCUGACUCCAGAGGCGCAAUCGCUAUCAUUUGCAGAAAUCAUUUGGGUAAAAUGGUGGAUGGGUAUACCUCUCGUGUGGCUGCUGCUUCAGCGUUGCAGGUGGAAAUUUCUGCCCUCCUGUCGGUGCUGCACCAUCUCCGUUGACUCGGCAAAACCAACGCUCCCUUGAUUUUGGAAUCUGACUGCCUUGCCAUGAUCAACGCCGUUGAAGAUCCUCGGAAGACUCCCUGGGCGCUUCGGCCCUUGUUUGACGAAGUGGCUACUCUUCUCCGCUGUUUCUCUCGACUGCAGUUAGGGUUUGUCCCUCGUACGGCCAACGCAGUUGCCGAUUGGGCUGCAAAGGCCCAAUUGGGCGGUACCUUAUCUUCCUCUUGGCUCGCAUUUCCCCCUCCUUUAUU